CUGUAUUGUUUUGAUGAUUGUGUGCAAACCAUAAAAGCUUUUGAGUUGAUUCUUAUUUCAUUGGGUUCUUAGUGAUUUUAUCUUUCCAACAAGUAUUUUUGUGUAAUUUUUGAACACCUAUCAAAUAAGGGAGCAAAGUUGGCACGUUUAUUUCUCCGCGGGCCCACGCGUAAGCACUUCUUCUCCUUCCUCACAUCACCAGAUGCAAGCCGUUGGCCUGCAGGGGCUGAGCUCCACCUGGCCGGUGCUUCCCUCCCC
rnacentral:lncRNA from 1 species